rfam:Planctomycetes bacterium GWF2_42_9 gwf2_scaffold_2139, whole genome shotgun sequence.
CCGGUGAGUUGGACGGCCGUUCAGCGGCAUUUAAUGUCGUUGAGAGGAAAGUCCGGGCAAGACAGGGCACGGUGAUGGCUAACGGCCACCUGGAGUAAUCCACGGGAAAGUGCAGCAGAAAAUAAACAGCCGAUUUGAGAUUUCAAAUUUGAAAUUUGAGAUUGGUAAUGGUGAAAAGGUGCGGUAAGAGCGCACCGCGAUUCUGGCGACAGAAUCGGCUAGGCAAACCCCACCGCUUGCAAGACCAAGUAUGCCGGUAUGCUAGCCCAAGCGUUACGCCGGCGGGUAGGUUGCUUGAGCCUGUCAGCAAUGGCAGGACUUAGAGAAAUGGUCGUCAACUACAGAACCCGGCUUAUAGACCCACCGGACAA